GGUGUUCUUCACCCCAGCCCGGUGUCCCUGCUAAGUGCCUGGCAGGUUCUUGCCCUUUCCGCAGGCUCAGUCCUUACCCCCGGCGGUGGAGCAGGAGCCCGGUCGUUUCUGCAGAGAUCCCCUCCCUUGCGGUGCGUUCAGUUAGGUCCGAGCUGCGCAGACCUGCCUCCUCACGCACACGUGGCCAGCGAGUGUCCAGCAGCGGGGUUUCCUCCUGGAAAACGCAUAUUUGCUCUGUCGCUAAGAAGCUACAGCGGCCAGCGAACAGAGGCUUCUGUACCAAUUUUUGUUGCGAUUCUGGAUAACAAACCGGACUCCAGACACCCCAGAUACAUCUCUAUCCCCAUACCUGUGGUAGAGGAUCCUCCACAGACCUGGAGAGCUAGCGCCGUCAUUCCAGUCUGUUCCCCAGCAUACAGUAUGUACCAGUUGGCAGCCUGGUCAACGCAUCCUUGCAGGGGGAAUACGGGAGCAGAUGCCCCUACAGUGCCCCACCCAAAGGGAUCUAUUUAGACAUCACCGACAGGAGAAGCCAUCAUGGACAGCACUCAGCACAACUGGCAGUCUGACCUCCUCAGGAACAUAGAGACCUGAAGUGGUUUACAUCUGGAAGAUAAACAUUCACCUACUGUUUCCGCUGUUAAUAAAUGCAUGUGUUCAAA